UACGAAGGGGGGCUAGCGUUGUUCGGAUUUACUGGGCGUAAAGCGCACGUAGGCGGAUCGUUAAGUCGGGGGUGAAAUCCUGGAGCUCAACUCCAGAACUGCCUUCGAUACUGGCGAUCUUGAGUCCGGAAGAGGUGAGUGGAACUCCUAGUGUAGAGGUGGAAUUCGUAGAUAUUAGGAAGAACACCAGUGGCGAAAGGCGGCUCACUGGUCCGGUACUGACGCUGAGGUGCGAAAGCGUGGGGAGCAAACAGG
rnacentral:rRNA from 1 species